AGAGUUAAGUACAGAUGGUUUUCUGUAGUAGACCUGCAAAGUCUAACUUUUAGGGUUCAAUUCCUUCUUAACUCUA
rnacentral:tRNA from 1 species